rnacentral:sRNA from 2 species
GCUAAACUGCCUGGGAAAAUACAUGGUGCUAUAAUGAUUCAACCUGAGUUUGUGAAUUCACAAGUCAUCCAUGAAGUGUCAGGUUGCUACCAUGUCUAGAGUUGCAUUUUCCUCAGUUCUAUUACAUCCGAGCCUUUCUAGCACAAGGCGCACUAGAUGCACCUUGUAUUCAGGGCUCUCGUUUCUAUCCCGAAAACUCAUCUGCCCUAUCACCUUCUCGGCACCUGUUCAUACUAAUAUGGAUAUGCAACAAACUUCGACAGGCAAUCCUGAGCAGAGUGCAACAAGAAUGCCAUCGGUGGGAACUAGAAUUGUUGGUGAAUCCGGCAGUCAAUACAUCAUUGAACGGAUUCUACAGGAAAGGGGAAAUACACCAGAUAUCCGUGUUUACCUAGCAAAUAACGGAACGGAGAAAUUUAUAUUGAAAAAUGUCUACGAUUUCGAUUACUACCAUGACCUUUACCGUCGCCUCUCUAGCUCUCCUUGUCUCCGCUUGUUGCAUGAUAUUGUGCCAAAUCGAUCAAUAUUCGUCUACGAAUACCUUGCCGACCAUCUUCUCAACGUAGCCAAAAAAGAUAUACCCCUGGUGGCCACCAAGCGAAUCCUCAGAGACGCGUUGCGUGGACUCAGAGAGCUGCAUGAUCGGGAUAUCGUCCAUACAGACAUCAAAGCAAACAACAUCCUGAUUGACUGGAA